CGGCGGCAGGAGGGAUGGGCUUGGAUUUCUGCCGCCAAUCCUCCCGGAGAGCCCUGGCCGGGAGCUUUUCGUUUCUCUUGGAGGAGGAGGAAGACGAGGAGGAGGAGGAGGCGAAGGAUGAGCGGCGGGGUCCGGCAUCAGAGGGAGCCGCCGAGGAGGCGAACAAGGAAAGGGAGAGGCAGGUGGUGGAGGCCAUGGAACUCGCUCGCAGCCCGGAACGACGAUGAUGAUGACGAUAAGAGACGGAGGAGGGGGAGGAAUCGAGUGGAGGGAGACGACGACGCACACCACACCCAGGCCUUACGUGGGCUUGCAUUGGUGGGCCUGUCUAUAAAAGGCUUAAGGCUUUCCUCCCUCCUCUCUGAAGACUGAACAACGAAAGCAUUGCCCUGAUUACAGAAAACAUGCUAUACAAGACUAUCAUAAACUCAUAGUAUCUCCAGGCCAGUCAAAAACAGACUAUGUAUACCAAUCCAAAAACUCAAUAUGCAACUUGCCCCCUUUCUGUGACAUAAACAAAGGCCAAAAUAGAAGCAGCUGUUCAUUCA